rnacentral:rRNA from 1 species
CCUACGGGAGGCAGCAGUGGGGGAUAUUGCACAAUGGGGGAAACCCUGAUGCAGCGACGCCGCGUGUGGGAAGACGGUCCUCUGGAUUGUAAACCACUGUCCCCAGGGACGAAGAUGCCGUUACCUGGGGAGGAAGCUCCGGCUACCUACGUGCCAGCAGCCGCGGUAAUACGUAGGGAGCGAGCGUUGUCCGGAAUUACUGGGUGUAAGGGGAGCGUGGGCGGGGAUGCAAGUUGGGUGUCAAAACUACCGGCUCAACUGGUAGUCGCACUCAAAACUGCAGCGCUGGAGUGAAGUAGAGGCAGGCGGAAUUCCUAGUGUAGCGGUGAAAUGCGUAGAUAUUAGGAGGAACACCAGUGGCGAAGGCGGCCUGCUGGGCUGUGACCGACGCUGAGGCUCGAAAGUGUGGGGAGCAAACAGGAUUAGAUACCCGAGUAGUC